rnacentral:rRNA from 1 species
GACGAGCCUCACAAACGUUAUUCGGAAUUACUGGGCUUAAAGGGUGCGUAGGCGGCGCGGACAGCUGGGUGUGAAAUCCCUCGGCUCAACCGAGGAACUGCGCCCAAAACUACCGUGCUCGAGGAAGAUAGAGGUGAGCGGAACUUACGGUGGAGCGGUGAAAUGCGUUGAUAUCGUAAGGAACACCCGUGGCGAAAGCGGCUCACUGGGUCUUUUCUGACGCUGAGGCACGAAAGCGUGGGGAGCAAACAGG